rnacentral:rRNA from 1 species
GGGUCAGUAGGUUGGUCGUGCCACCGGUACGUACUGGUCUCACUGAUUCCUCCUUCCUGAAGAACCGUAAUGCCAUUAAUUUGGUGUUGCGGGGAAACAGGACUGUUACUUUGAAAAAAUUAGAGUGUUUAAAGCAGGUUAGCGCUUGAAUACAUUAGCAUGGAAUAAUGAAAUAGGACGAUCGAUCCUAUUUUGUUGGUUUCUAGGAUUGACGUA